UAAAUUUCAGCAGGCAGAUUCAUUUUCUGCCACCGAAUACAUUAGCAUGGGAUAAUGGAAUAGGACCCUGUCCUCCUAUUUUCAGUUGGUUUUGGCAGCGCGAGGACUAGGGUAAUGAUUAAUAGGGAUAGUUGGGGGCAUUAAUAUUUAAUUGUCAGAGGUGAAAUUCUUGGAUUUAUGAAAGAUUAACUUCUGCGAAAGCAUCUGCCAAGGAUGUUUUCAUUAAUCAAGAACGAAAGUUAGGGGAUCGAAGACGAUCAGAUACCGUCGUAGUCUUAACCAUAAACGAUGCCGACCAGCGAUUAGGAGACGUUGAAUACAAAACACCACCAUCGGCGCGGUCGUCCUUGGCGCGUUCGUGUUCACGCACGGGCGCGCGAGGGCGGUUUAGCCCGGUGGCACCGGUGAAUGACUCCCCUAGCAGUUUGGAAAAAA
rnacentral:rRNA from 1 species